rnacentral:lncRNA from 1 species
GUGAGCUAACUGGUGCCGGUGGUGGAAGGAUUUUCACAGGAGGUGAUGGUGAAAUCACAGGAGCCGGUGGAGGAGGUGAUUUUACAGGCGGUGGCGGCGAGCUAACGGGUGCCGUUGGUGGAGGGGAUUUCAUGGGAGACGAUGGUGAAACCAUUGGAGCUAGUGGAGGAGGUAAUUUUACAGGUGGUGGCGGUGAGUUGACUGGAGUAGGUGGUGAAGAGUAUUUCACAGGAGGCGGUGGUGAGCUAACUGGAGCCGGUGGAGGAGGUGAUUUUACAGGUGGUGGUAGUGAGCUGACUGGAGCAGGUGGUGGAGGGGAUUGCGCCAGAGGAGGUGGUGAGCUUACUGGAGCCGGUGGUGGUGAUUUUAUAGGUGGUGGUGGUGAGCUGACUGGAGCAGGCGGUGGAGGGGAUUGCAUCGGAGGAGGAGGUGAGCUUAUUAGAGCUGAUGGAGGAGGUGAGUUUGCUUGUGGUGGGGGUGGCGACCUUAUCGGUGGUGGAGGAGGUGAUGAUUUCGUUAGCGGUGGAGGUGACCUCACCGGCGCUGGUGGCGGCGGCGAACUUAACAGUGGUGAAGGAGGUGGUGAUUUCACUGACGAUGGAGGUGACCUCACCGGCACCGGUGGUGGCGGUGAUUUAAUCAUCGGUGGAGGUGAUGGUGGUGAAGGAGAUUUCACCGUUGGAGGCGGUUCACUCACAUAUGCUGGAGAUGGAGGUGAUUUUACUAGUGGUGGUGAGCUAACCGAAACCGGUGGAGGAGGGAAUUUGGUAGGUGGGGGAGGCGAGCUAAUAGGUGCUGGUGGGGGUGGAGAUUUCAUUGAUGGCGGUGGUGAACUAAUCGGUGAUGGCGGUGGCGGUGGUGGUGACCUCACCGGUACUGGUGGUGGCGGCGAACUUACUGGUGGUGGAGGAGGUGGUGAUUUCACUGGCGCUGGAGGUGACCUUGGUGGCAACGGCGGUGGAGAUUUCACAGAUGGAGGUGGUAAACUCAUAGAUACUGGAGGUGGAGGCGAUUUUAGUAGUGGUGGUGGUGAGCUAACCGGAACCGGUGGAGGAGGAGAUUUGAUAAGUGGGGGAGGCGAGCUAAUAGGUGCUGGUGCUGGUGCGGGUGCGGGUGGAGAUUUCACUGAUGGUGGCGGCGACGGCUGUGGGCUCACUGGCUGUGGUGCUGGGGACUUCUUUGGUGGUUGGUUCUCCGGUGAUGGCGCUGGUGGCAACGGAUGUGGACUAACGUCUGGUGGCCUAGGAACCUUCUUCGCUGGUGGCGCAGGCAUCUUG